UAUGGCCAUAUCAUGUUGAAACAUUGGUUCCUUUAUGAUCACCAAAGUUAAGCAACAUCAAGCCUGGUCAGUACCUAGAUGGGUAACUGCUUGGGAAUACUAG